AUUGAACGCUGGCGGCAUGCCUUACACAUGCAAGUCGAACGGCAGCACGGGGCAACCUGGUGGCGAGUGGCGAACGGGUGAGUAAUGCAUCGGAACGUACCUUUCAGUGGGGGAUAACGUAGCGAAAGUUACGCUAAUACCGCAUAUUCUGUGAGCAGGAAAGCAGGGGAUCGUAAGAACUUGCUCUUAUUUAGGGGCUGAGGUCAGGGUAGCUAGUUGGUGAGGUAAAGGCUCACCAAGGCGACGAUCUGUAGCGGGUCUGAGAGGAUGAUCCGCCACACUGGAACGGAGACACGGUCCAGACUCCUACGGGAGGCAGCAGUGGGGAAUUUUGGACAAUGGGGGCAACCCUGAUCCAGCCAUGCCGCGUGAGUGAAGAAGGCCUUCGGGUUGUAAGCUCUUUCGGCCGGGAAGAAGUCGCACAGGCUAAUACCUUGUGUGGAUGACGGUACCGGAAUAAGAAGCACCGGCUAACUACGUGCCAGCAGCCGCCGUAACAC
rnacentral:rRNA from 1 species